rnacentral:tRNA from 1 species
GCAAUGCUGGUUCAGUGGUAGAAUUCUUACUUUCCAUGCAGGAGAUCAAGGUUCGAUUCCCAGUCAAUGCA